AACAAACGCUGGCGGCGUGCCUAAUACAUGCAAGUCGAACGGGGAAAGCUUUCGGGUGAGUACUAGUGGCGCACGGGUGAGGAACGCGUGGAUAAUCUGCCUUAGAGUGGGGGAUAACUAGUCGAAAGAUUAGCUAAUACCGCAUAAGACCACAGGAGCUGCGGCUCAAGGGGUCAAAGGUUUUUCGCUCUAAGAUGAGUCCGCGUAAGAUUAGCUAGUUGGUGAGGUAACGGCUCACCAAGGCGACGAUCUUUAACCGGUCUGAGAGGAUGAUCAGUCACACUGGAACUGAGACACGGUCCAGACUCCUACGGGAGGCAGCAGUAGGGAAUAUUGCACAAUGGAGGAAACUCUGAUGCAGCGACGCCGCGUGAGUGAUGAAGGCCUUCGGGUCGUAAAGCUCUGUCGCAGGGGAAUAACACAAUGAAGGUACCCUGUAAGAAAGGAUCGGCUAACUUCGUGCCAGCAGCCGCGGUAACAC
rnacentral:rRNA from 1 species